rnacentral:other from 1 species
GUUCGUCUGCGGAGUUCGACAGGCAGGCAAUUUUUCCUCCUACGCUAUCGACCCCGGGAUCCGCCGCUUCUAUCGUACCGCGCAAGCUCCUCGUUAAAGUGGAGGAGAAGCAGGUGCCGGAAUGUGGAGCCCACCUUAUGGAAGCGGGUUGGGAAGUCCUGCCAUCGGCUUUCGCGGACGAAUU